GCCUCUGUAGCUUAAUUGGUAAAGCAUUCGCUUGAAGCGCGAUUGAUGCGAGUUCGAUUCUCGACGUAGGCA
rfam:Debaryomyces hansenii mitochondrion, complete genome.